AUGCUUACCUGGCGUAGGCGAUACCGUGAUCAUGCAGGCGGUGCCCCCAGGAUGAGGCUGCUCCAUUGCACUGCGGAGUGGUUGACCCUUGCGAUUAUUUAUAUCAAUAUAAAAAUCAUAAUAAAAAAUGUAUAUUAAUAGUUAUUUAAGUUAUUUUCUUUAU